GGAGUUUUAAAGAGAGGCACUGUUGGAUUUCCCAGAGGCAGUUGAGUUAAUUUUUGUGUUGUGUACUAAACAGUUGAACUUUUUUUUUCCUUCCAGAAUGCUGCCGUGCAACCCACCUGGGUGCUUGGCACAUCCUAGGUUUUUUUCCCUCUCUUGUCACAUCAGAACCCCCUGGCAUCCUCAAGUCCAGAGGAACUUUGAGAAAAAGGAUUCCCAGUGAGACAAGCAAGCAGCUGGUGGGGAAGAGAGAAGAGGCCGCAGGCUGGAGAGGAGCAGGAGAAACCCCCCUGGCAUCACCAGGCCACCUGUGGGGAACAGAACGGACACUUUGGGAGUAAAAAGAGGAAAGGGAUGCACAUCCCUGCCUUCAGCGCACCUCCAGUGGGACCCACCUGAAAAAGCUUUCCAUCGCUUCUUCAUCAGCUUCCAGCUGGCUCCCUGAAAAACUCCAAACUUCAUC